rnacentral:rRNA from 1 species
GGGCUGGCGGGUGCUAUACAUGCAAGUCGAGCGAACAGAUGAGAAGCUUGCUUCUCUGAUGUUAGCGGCGGACGGGUGAGUAACACGUGGGUAACCUACCUAUAAGACUGGGAUAACUCCGGGAAACCGGGGCUAAUACCGGAUAAUAUUUUGAACCGCAUGGUUCAAUAGUGAAAGACGGUUUCGGCUGUCACUUAUAGAUGGACCCGCGCCGUAUUAGCUAGUUGGUAAGGUAACGGCUUACCAAGGCGACGAUACGUAGCCGACCUGAGAGGGUGAUCGGCCACACUGGAACUGAGACACGGUCCAGACUCCUACGGGAGGCAGCAGUAGGGAAUCUUCCGCAAUGGGCGAAAGCCUGACGGAGCAACGCCGCGUGAGUGAUGAAGGUCUUCGGAUCGUAAAACUCUGUUGUUAGGGAAGAACAAAUUUGUUAGUAACUGAACAAGUCUUGACGGUACCUAACCAGAAAGCCACGGCUAACUACGUGCCAGCAGCCGCGGUAAUACGUAGGUGGCAAGCGUUAUCCGGAAUUAUUGGGCGUAAAGCGCGCGUAGGCGGUUUCUUAAGUCUGAUGUGAAAGCCCACGGCUCAACCGUGGAGGGUCAUUGGAAACUGGGAAACUUGAGUGCAGAAGAGGAGAGUGGAAUUCCAUGUGUAGCGGUGAAAUGCGCAGAGAUAUGGAGGAACACCAGUGGCGAAGGCGGCUCUCUGGUCUGUAACUGACGCUGAUGUGCGAAAGCGUGGGGAUCAAACAGGAUUAGAUACCCUGGUAGUCCACGCCGUAAACGAUGAGUGCUAAGUGUUAGGGGGUUUCCGCCCCUUAGUGCUGCAGCUAACGCAUUAAGCACUCCGCCUGGGGAGUACGACCGCAAGGUUGAAACUCAAAGGAAUUGACGGGGACCCGCACAAGCGGGGGAGCAUGUGGUUUAAUUCGAAGCACGCGAAGACCUUACCAAUCUUGACUCCUUUGACGCUCUAAAGAAGAGUU